rnacentral:rRNA from 1 species
UACAGAGGGGACAAGCGUUGUUCGGAAUCACUGGGCGUAAAGGGCGCGUAGGCGGCCCGCACAAGUCUGCGGUGAAAACCCCCGGCUUAACCGGGGGCCGGCCGUGGAAACUGUCGGGCUGGAGGCUGGGAGAGGGCAGCGGAAUUCCCGGUGUACGCGGUGAAAUGCGUAGAUAUCGAGAGGAACACCUGAGGUGAAGACGGGUUGCUGGGCCGACACUGACGCUGACAGCGCGAAAGCCAGGGGAGCAAACGGGAU